rnacentral:rRNA from 1 species
GACGAACGCUGGCGGCGUGCCUAAUACAUGCAAGUCGAACGCACUUUCUUUCACCGUAGCUUGCUACACUGAACGACAAUCAGUGGCGUACGGGUGAGUAACCCGUGGGUAACCUGCCCAUCAGCGUCGGAUAACCCUUGCUAACAGGUGCUAAUACCGCAUACUUCCAUUUACCGCAUGGUAGAUCGGUGAAAGUCGCUUUUGCGUAUCUGACCGAUCGACCCGCGGUGCAUUUGCUGGUUGGUGGGUUCACGGCCUACCAAGGCUGCGAUGCAUAGCCGACCUGAGAGGGGGGUCGGCCACACUGGGACUUGGACACGGCCCCGACUCCUACGGGGAGCAGCAGGAGGGAAUCUUCGGCAAAGGACGCAAGUCUGACCGGGCAACGCCGCGGUGGGGGAGAAGGGUCUCGGAUCGUAAAACUCUGUUGUUAGGGAAGAAAAAGAAGGGGAGUGAAAAGUGCAUCCCUUGACGGUAUCUAACCAGAAAGCCACGGCUAACUACGUG